CAAGUUCGCCGUCUCUGACCAUAUAGCGUCCGCUUUCCCAGAACUUCUCCAAGCUCCGCCCUCAGCUAACCUCCGCUCCAACUCCUGUGCUUUCUCCUUAGUCAAAAUAUCCCAUCUAAUCCGCGGUUGUCCCCGAGCACCCCUCCUCUUCCUCUUCACCCAGAGACCGACAUCCAUCACAAGGAGUCUAUGAAGAGUCGAACGGGACUCUCCCGGAAUAACCUUGCAGUCCUUGCACAUACCCCUAUCGCUCCUUCUGAGGAGGAGUUAAUCAAUUUGAGUCCUCGCCGCCGAACUCUUGAAGGUGACCAAAUGCUCCUCCCUCUUCUGAAAUGUCGAGUUCGCAAUCAAAAUCUCNNN
rnacentral:lncRNA from 1 species